rnacentral:rRNA from 1 species
CCCUUAGAUGUUCUGGGCUGCACGCGCGCUACACUGAUGCGCUCAACGAGUUUACGACCUUGCCCGGAAGGGUUGGGUAAUCUUUUUAAAACGCAUCGUGAUGGGGAUAGAUUAUUGCAAUUAUUAAUCUUUAACGAGGAGUUCCUAGUAAGCGCGAGUCAUCAGCUCGUGCUGAUUACGUCCCUGCCCUCUGUACACACCGCCCGUCGCUCCUACCGAUUGAACGGUUUAGUGAGGGCCUCGGAUUGGUCUCGGCCCGCUCUUUACCGGGCGGCGCCGUUGGUCGAGAAGACGCUCGAACUUGAUCGUUUAGAGGAAGUAAAAGUCGUAACA